rnacentral:rRNA from 1 species
UACGGGGGGUGCGAGCGUUGUCCGGAAUCACUGGGCGUAAAGGGCGCGUAGGUGGUUUGAUAAGGGUGUGGUGAAAGCCCGGGGCUCAACCCCGGGUCUGCCGUGCCGACUGUCAAACUCGAGGGCUGUAGAGGCAGACGGAAUUCCGGGUGUAGCGGUGGAAUGCGUAGAGAUCCGGAGGAAGACCGGUGGCGAAGGCGGUCUGCUGGGCAGUUUCGGACACUGAGGCGCGACAGCGUGGGGAGCAAACAGG